rnacentral:rRNA from 1 species
UACGUAGGGUGCGAGCGUUAAUCGGAAUUACUGGGCGUAAAGCGUGCGCAGGCGGUUUUGUAAGCCAGGUGUGAAAUCCCCGGGCUCAACCUGGGAAUGGCAUUUGGGACUGCAAGGCUGGAGUGCGGCAGAGGAGACUGGAAUUCCUGGUGUAGCAGUGAAAUGCGUAGAUAUCAGGAGGAAUACCGAUGGCGAAGGCAGGUCUCUGGGCUGACACUGACGCUCAUGCACGAAGCGUGGGAGCGAACAAGGAUGAUA